rnacentral:rRNA from 1 species
CCUACCGGGAGGCAGCAGUGGGGAACAUUGCGCAAUGGGCGAAAGCCUGACGCAGCGACGCCGCGUGAGGGAUGAAGGUCUUCGUAUCGUAAACCCCUGUCAGCAGGGAAGAACGGUCACUGUGCUAAUCAGCAGUGAAUUGACGGUACCUGCCAAGGAAGCACCGGCUAACUCCGUGCCAGCAGCCGCGGUAAUACGGAGGGUGCGAGCGUUAAUCGGAAUUACUGGGCGUAAAGCGCUCGUAGGCGGUAUGUCAAGUCAAGGGUGAAAUCCCCGGGCUCAACGUGGGAACUGCCUUGGAAACUGGCAAACUGGAGUGUGUGAGAGGAUAGUGGAAUUCCAGGUGUAGGAGUGAAAUCCGUAGAUAUCUGGAGGAACAUCAGUGGCGAAGGCGACUAUCUGGCACAUAACUGACGCUGAGGAGCGAAAGCGUGGGUAGCAAACAGGAUUAGAUACCCCUGUAGUC